AUUGAACGCUGGCGGCAGGCCUAACACAUGCAAGUCGAACGAGUGGCGGACGGGUGAGCAAUGUAUGGGAAACUGCCUGAUGGAGGGGGAUAACUACUGGAAAAGGUAGAAAAUACCGCAUAACCUCGGAUGGGCCCAGAUGGGUUUAGCUAGUAGGUGGGGUAAAGGCUCACCUAGGCGACGAUCCCUAGCUGGUCUGAGAGGAUGACCAGCCACACUGGAACUGAGACACGGUCCAGACUCCUACGGGAGGCAGCAGUGGGGAAUAUUGCACAAUGGGCGCAAGCCUGAUGCAGCCAUGCCGCGUGUAUGAAGAAGGCCUUCGGGUUGUAAAGGACUGUCAGCGGGGAGGCGUUACCCGCAGAAGAAGCACCGGCUAACUCCGUGCCAGCAGCCGCGGUAAUAC
rnacentral:rRNA from 1 species